CACGCUGUAAACGAUGAAUACUAGGUGUGGGGGGACUGACCCCUUCCGUGCCGCAGUUAACACAAUAAGUAUUCCACCUGGGGAGUACGAUCGCAAGAUUGAAACUCAAAGGAAUUGACGGGGGCCCGCACAAGCAGUGGAUUAUGUGGUUUAAUUCGACGCAACGCGAAGAACCUUACCGGGAUUUGACAUCCUACUAACGAAGCAGAGAUGCAUUAGGUGCCCUUCGGGGAAAGUAGAGACAGGUGG
rnacentral:rRNA from 1 species